GACGAACCGUCCAAACGUUAUUCGGAAUCACUGGGCUUACAGAGUUCGUAGGCGGUCUGGAAAGUUGGGUGUGAAAUCCCUCGGCUCAACCGAGGAACUGCGCUCAAAACUGCCAGACUCGAGGGAGAUAGAGGAAAGCGGAACUGAUGGUGGAGCGGUGAAAUGCGUUGAUAUCAUCAGGAACACCGGUGGCGAAGGCGGCGUUCUGGACUGCAACUGACACUGAGGAACGAAAGCCAGGGGAGCAAACGGG
rnacentral:rRNA from 1 species